rnacentral:lncRNA from 1 species
UUUAUGUCUCAUAAACCCAAUAGAUUGCACUAUGACGGUGUAUUACUCCCUGAAACCAGAAAACUUUUAUUGAUAAAAAAACAAACAGCCUGGUUUACGGUGCAAAGUCGAGCCCUGAAACAAAAAACCAAAGCGUUUAUAUCCUGGCAUGAGCUGUGGACAGCACUUGGAACGGCGCAGGAAUACAUGGCUGGGUUUGUUGGCCUUACCGACAGCAUAAAUAUACCAACACUACAUUCCACAGUGAAAUUGAACUCCUGCCACCACAACUGACAUAUUCACACCCCAUUCACCCCCACAUUGACUCCACGUUCCCAGAGCAUACCCCAUCAUUCCCCCAUGCUCUUAUGGUGAGGACCACCAACUGAAACGCUCAUCUCCUGUUACAGCUCCUGACAGUAAUGCAAACGCAGAAGGCAAAUUUCACAGAAGCAGACGAAGUGAUAUUUUCUCAAUAUGAACUCUGUGUGCUUAUAGAGGACAAAGACAAACAUACUUUCAUGCUGGUACUUUUCCAGCACACAAAGAGUCCGGGGGUAAAUUUUGGCUUUGAUUAACAGGUCCCUAAUGUUUGACCUAGUGCAGUGUCGCAGGCAGAGGAAUGCAGCAUUCACAGGGAUCCUGUUUAAAAUAACCACAGAGACAAGAGGAAACAAGUGGACGGACACAGUCUCACAUUUUAAUGGUUUUUUUUGUGUCUGCAGAGAUGCACAGUUGCAUUUUUUUUUUUCUUAGCAGCUCUGUGGAAAAUGAAAUCUCUCUUCGCAAAAUGACAGAGUCUAUUGAGCAGAGGUUGCCGGCAAUCCCCGGCUUUCACGCCACUCUUUGAAAAUAGAAGACACAUCUGCUUGUCUUUUCUCUGAAUUCGGUUUUAAUGGAAAAGAGGUGCAACAGUUAUCCCUUUUGGGUUCACUGAACUGUAUCUCCAGCUCAGACUGUAUGUUCAAAUAGUUUGCUUGUGCUCAAAAAAAAAAGAGAGGAUGUAAGGAGAACAAGCAAUUACUGUAAGCCCGUGUGACACUACACACAAGACACUGUAUAAAUAGUUAACAUCACACACGAGCAAGGAAACAAGGUUGUAUCAAUGGGAGUUUUUUUUCUACUCCAUCCAGAAGCACAGUUAAUACUUGUGCAUUAUGUUUACACGGCGUACUUUGGAGGCCAAGCCAUUCCUGUUGUUAGCUGGAGAUAAUGAGAACGACUGCAAAAGCACUAAACAGCUAAAAGCACAUCUGCCAGGAUACUCCAAAAACCUGGCAACAGCACAUACAUCUGGUCAUAAAAGAGAAACACAGAAAUGGAAAUGUACAGUUAUAAAAAGAUACAGAGCUACCGGGGGGGAUGCAAAACAAUGCAACUCCAAGAAGAAGCAGUGAUUUCAUCACAAGGGCGAACAUAUGCAAUGAGAAAUUAAUCAGACAUUACACCAAGAGAAACCCUGUAAACAUGCAAAUACAAAAUCCCUUUACAGUUUCGAGUUUCAGACACCAACCUCUGACAAAGCUGCAUACUGCAUCUACCAUGAUGCAUUUCUCAUGAUUUUUAGAUUGCACUAUAGGCAAUUCAAAGCAAUCGAUUCAAGUAUGACAGGCAUGUCUGAGAAAAUCUGGUAAUACACACUGCAGUGACUAACAAAUUAAAGAGUUGUUAGUGGUUAGAAAGUCAAAUUAGGCUCAGUGUGCAAAGUGAAAAAUAAAUCAAUGCGCAGUAUUCCAGUUUUCUGUUUAUGAUGUCCUUUUUUGCCUUGAUUUAGUAGGAUGUGGGUAAAGACAGGCGUUGAAUGAAGGACUACAGCAACAAUAACUGUGGACUCUGACAUGGGGCACACCCCUGCAGAUUUGAUGAACUGAUUCCUCUUCUGCACACCAGUCAGGAAGCAAAGAUGUGUGACGUAUUUAUCUGCAAGUCCCAAAGAAAGCAACUAUAACAGCCUGUUGCAACACCCACAUGGUCUGUAGGGGGAGCAUGCCACCCCAGGACAACCCUCUAGUUUUUCAGGUCGGGUGUUUUUUACGUGCUUCUAACUCAGUAUGUCCACACAACACAACCUCAAAACUUCCAGACAAAACCCAGGACAUUUGAAGAAUUUUAUAAACUCCCUGGACAAGGCCGGACAGCCCCCCAAAUAGAGGACAUGUCUGGGUAAAAGAGGACGUAUGGUCGCCCUACUCUAGACACACCCUCUGGAUGUCUUCCAAAAACUCAAGAUAGGUGCAAAUAAAUGCAUAAAAAAAACUGAGUUUUAUUUCCAGCUUUCGAAUUGAAAGUUAUAGCCCUGCUGAGGGUGAAAGGGGAACAUCUUUGUGAAUGCAACUGACUCCUCCGAGUCACUCUGAGAUUUGUCCAGACAAACUGAAAGGAUUGAGAAGGAUUUGACAGGGAAGGACAAUAUGAAUGCUAAUGGAUGUCUGACGCUUUACUGCACAAUCGCUGGAGGUUAAAAGGAGCAGACAAGUUUAGAGAUCCCCCAAAAGGACAUCUCAACCUUUUCCACCAACUGAUGGCUUAUAUAAACUUAUUUUACUAUUUCCCAUUUGCUUAAUUAGAAGCAGCAACGAAUCAAAGCAAUCCCACUUUUGAGGGUUCUGGUUUUGUCUUUUUGGCAGCUUGCAUCAUGCAAAAUACGUAUGCAGCCGAGUGAGUGUUGUGGAGAAAUAUGUUGCAAUCUUUCUCUUACAAAUAGCCAAUUUAUCCACAUUGUACCCCUCAGAGCUGACUCAAACGGUUUGAAUUCUACCCAGAACAAGCAAAGUGUCGUGCUAAUUGGACCAAGCUGCCCAGACCCAAAAGGUAAAACUCAGUUAACCUCUGUGUCCAUCAAAACUGAUGAAAGUCUGGCAAUGAUUGACGCCUCAUCAUCCCAAAGGCCUUAUACCACCAACCGGUGCGUCUCCAUUGCUUCUAUUACAGCUCGAAUUCUCCCCCUCACAGCAGCUGCAGUCCAAAGUGUGAAGGUGAAUUGUCAGACUUUUUCCAAACUGUCUAGACUUUCCAUCCUUCCAGAGCAGCAUGGGUUCCCUGAUAGUGGGAAUCUAUUUUGCAAAAUGCUCUGAACCUCUAAUGAAGAAAUGAAGCAUGGAGGAACCAUGACGGACCGCGGCCAGGGGGAACCAUGCCGAGGGAAAGAGGGCCACUGAGAGGGGGGCAUGGAUAGAGCGGAAGGAGAAUGACAAGAAGGUGAGAAAGACAAGGACAGAAAGUAAAAGAAAGAAAAAUAAAGGAGGGAAGAACUGAUUGAAGGUGAAAUAAGGAAAACUAAAGAGAGGCCUGAAUUCUCACAUUUUGAACAGCACUGUACUCGACAAUGAACCGUCUUGAAUACCUUCGCAGAGUGUUUUUAUUUUAAUUUGCAGUGGAAAAUGUCUUUUAAAUGACAUAUUUAUAGGGUUUGAAAAGAAAAAAUAUUUGUCCAGCUGGAAGAGUGCUCAAAUACCACCGUUGGUUGUGAGUAGGCUCUUGAGUGCUGCUCAUUUUUUCAGACAAUGAGACCUUUAAAAAUCCUAGAAAAAGGCCUUUUUAUUAUCUUGUUACAUAUUAGACCUCUUACUGAUUUUUAUUUUUACUCUGUCCCUGAAAUAAACAUUCAGAGAUUUUAAUAACGCUGGUGCAUGUCCCAAAUGGGCUUGUCAAAUCCUGAGUCAUCAGACAUGCAACUAUUUCCUGGUUACCUGUCUGACCAUGAUUGAUUGGCUGCAGUCACAAUAGCACCUUGUCGACUAGCACAGGCUAGCACCCAGAGAAGCCAAAAAAGAAACAAAACAAAGUUCCUUAAAAAGACAUUUGUGUGCAGCAGUUCCUCUCUCAGCUUAUUAUCCUCUCUCCUCCGUUAAAAUACCUCGAUGGACUUCUGCAGCAUACAAGCUAACCUCAGCCACCUCACAGUCUCCCUGCAGCAUUCACAUCCAUUAUAUAAACUCCCAAAAUAAAUGACUGAUGGGGGGGCAGUAUUUUAGCUCCCAGUUUUGUUCUUUUUUGACAACACUAUUAAAACUAGCAACAUAAUCAGCAAAGGAACAAAUGUAGAGACAACUUUGCUCUCUGCCUGCUGGACAAUACCAGAUAAAUCCGGUCUAAAGAACUGAAAAAGAAAAUCUAUCCAUAAAUGGUCCAUGUAUCUGAUGUUUUUCUCCUCCCCAGUGUUGGAAAAAUCCAUAAAUGCAGCUGAAGAACACACAGUAUGUGGAAAAUUUACAUUGUGUUCGCUUGGCGUGCUUCAUUGUUUGCAGUGUUUUCAGUCCCUUUGGCUCAGUAUCACCUUUAGCCCCCCUUUGGCACUAAUCUGCCAGGCUGACUCAUUGUCUCAGGUGAAGCCAAGCAGAAGACAUGGCCGCCCCAACCCCUCUGGGCCCCGCCUCCCUACACACACACUAACACACAUCCAUGAACAACAACCCCCCAUCUCGACACCGCAACCUCCCCACCCCAGGGAUUCCCGUUAUUCCACCCUGUCUGCAGAGAGGCUACUGGGAUCACAUUGCACAUCAGUCUGGUGCCUUUCCUCCUGAUACCGUCAGGAGUCACGUGGGAGGGGGCCACACCCCAACACGCACCAGCUCUCUUUUCAGCGCGAACCCGGCUUCGGUCCUCAUUAUUUAUGACAUUUUCCCGGCGAUUAUUAAUUCAUCAGAAUUGCAUUAUAUUCCAGACGUAGUCCAGACACUGUCACAUCUGUGACGUCUCCGGAGCCCAGCAGGUCCUGAAGGAGCCAGCCCCGCCCACUCCAUCAACCCCCUCUGCCGCUGUUUUUCCACAUCUCUAAUUGGGUUUUGUUUAUGGCUUCUGUGAUCAGCGGCGACAGCAUGAUCGGUGCCGUUGCCUCCCAAAGUCUAAUGGGGGGAAACUUGUCUAUUUGUCUGCUGCCUGCUUCCCUUUCACUAAUCACACUGUCAACUACAGCAAACACUGCUCUCAUUCAAGACUAGAAAGCAUCUGUACAUGUAAUAACAGCGUAUGUAUUUUACUGAUACAGUUUCAAAGAGUCCCCCGUCUCUCUUCAGUGGAUAUUUUUCAAUCCUGGAGUGCCGUAUCUCUACUUUUAGUCUGGCAUCUGUUGCUGUUCAGUGAGCUGACCGGUUGGCGGUUAGGGUUACAGUUGUUCACAGAGGGCACACUUAAUGCUCUACUGAUCAAUAUUUUGAGGGAUCAUUUGACUUAAGAGUUAGAAAACCCCAGAGAGAACUAUGACUCAAGUCGUCAGAUCCCCUUACCCUGAACAGAUGUCGAUUUUUUGCCCCCUGUUUUUGGUUUUAAGAGCUGGCAAACACAAAAAAGCUCAAACUAGAAUGGAUAUUGGAUUUUCAUGCAUCAGCUGGAGAAAAAAAAUAACAACCUCUAAUGAUUUGUUUUCUUGUCUUGUGUCUGGCUGAUGCAUAAAUAGGCAAUUGCCUCCCUAACACAGGACCAAAUGAAGUGAUAACAGGCCAAACGGCUUCCUGGAGCCCCAAAGAGCGACAACCUUUCCAGAUAUUUGUCAGCUUUUAUUGUUACCUUUUCAGAUUGAACUCCAAGCACAUUUUUUGACAUUCAAAUGAAUUCACAAGUUCUGACAACAACCUCUGGAGGAGAAAGAAGAUACUCGCACAUUGAAUCUCACUGAACAUUUCUUACUGGUCCAUUGACUCAAGUAUUUAACCAAUUACUCUCAGAAAUCACAAGACCCGCUCGGACUAAAUGAAACCGAGAUAUCGGAGACAUCAGAGGACGGAUUAAAAAGAGAAUCCUGGAAAUCCAUAAAAAUGCUAAGAGUGGGCGAAUCCAGAGGCCUGAUGUUAAUUUGUCUAAGUUUGCUGAUGCAUACCACCAAAUGGAGAAGAGGAGGAUAAUGUGUCAGAAGAGUUAAACGUCACGCAGUAAAAGGAUUGAGUUAAAGACUGACUAAAGACUCUUAUGAUGAGUUUCAAGGAUAUCUAAUUAUAACCAUCUCAUAUCCCACAUAAGUAAGAUGAGCAGAGAUUGUAACGCUGAAGUCACUGAAGUAGUUUGAUUGGAGGUUAGUCUCAGCUUUACAGUCUCAGUGCAAAAACAGAAGUUGGUCUUUUAUAGUCUUAAUAACCUACCAGGAAUCAUAAAUGUGAUUUAAGGAUGUAUCACAGAGUUGCGAUGCUAAUCACCACUGUGGAAGAUUAAUAACGUCACAUGCUUGUAAGGUCGUACUUUCCACACUGCGGCCUCAUCAUGGCUACUUUUACUGCUAAUGCUAAUCAUCAUUACCCUCCCCUCUGAUGAGCAGGAGAGGCGGCCAAUAAAUCAGGAGUGACAUGUGCCAGUUAAGACACCAAGAGGGAUGAGAAACCGUUGAAAUGUUUGUGGUUUAUUUAUCCCCAUGCAUGUGCAGGGCGCCAACAAAGCAAGCUUUUGUUCACAGGAGUAAGAGCGAUGAGGCAUGGCUGAGAAAUAUUCUUCAUUUAUCUUCUCUAAACUGAUGAAGUCUGCAAAGAAACCAUGUUUGAUUUGGUAAUAAAAAUGUCUGCAGCAGUUUCGCAUCUCUCGUUUUAAUUAAUCUGUCUUAAAGAGACACUUUUGCCUCAUAAAAUGAUAAUGAAAUCCGCGUGGAAAUUCACUCUUUUUAUGAUCUUUUAUUAUGAAUCCCUCUCCUUGAAAAAUGGGACUCACCAGCGGUCUGUAUGAGGAAGAAUCACAGCAAACAAACAAACAUCUUCACCUUGGAUUACGAGUCUCUAAACAACUGACGAUACAAUAGCAGGACAGAUAAACACUUCAGCAAAGUCACAUCUGAUGUGGCAUGACUUCUAUGUAGGUUAAUGAAGGCCUUAUUCAGGCUUUGGUUUGAAUUCAUGUUGCAGAGCCAAAGAGGAGGACCAAUGUGAGGAAAAAGCGUCUUAUUUUCUGCCAUCUUUCCUGGACACCAACUGGGAUGCAAGCUACAGCAUCUGAGCACAGCAUCAAAUCCAACACAGAAAGCUCCAAACACAGACAAAGGAGCCCCUCCACCCAUGGCGAGCGAGAGGACAGUGAUUAAUGAGGCCACACCAGUGGAGAGUGGCUCCGUUAUACUCCACCUCCAGUCUUGUAUCUGCUUCGGCAGUAAGAGUGUCAACAAGUAACUAAUGACUGCCAAGAUGUCCGCUGUUAUACAUUUCCUGGAAACAUCAGUGCUUAUCAGUUCAACUGCUGCAUUCACAGGUGCUGCUACAUGGCUGGAGGCGAACGAGAUGUUUAUAUUUUCAACUAAGAGUCUGGCACUCUGCUGCUGUGACGGUUGACGGGUUGGAUUUCUGAUACCAGUUGUCACGAUGAAGAAGAGUUCCUCUCCUAGGGGUCAAUAACUGAAACUCCAAAAGCUAGCCCGUAUCAAGCGGCAACUUCUGUCCCUGACAAUUGAGGCCACCAAAGAAAAGGAACAAAUCUACAGUUAAUGACUUGAGGACAUUAGACGUGCCCCAAAAACCAAAAGAACACUGACAUUUGUGUUAAAAGGUAUAUUUUAUACAGCAAAUCAAACCAAGCUAUGGCAUGGUGCAAUAUCAAUGGUACAAUGGGGAAUAUCUUGUUAUAACUCAAAAACUUUAAUGAUCUUAAGACUAAGUGUUACUAUGAAUUGAUAUGCAUGUGUAAGGAUGCGGUUAACUUGACUGGCGGGCAGCCGUUGACCGGUAGGCCCUCCUUAGCUCCGCCUGUUCCUUAGAGAUCAAGGCGGUCGAGAAUAGUCCUGUUAAAAACACUUAUUCAAAAUUCUGAGUGUCGAGCAUGCACAGAGAUCUAAAUAAAUGACUGAAAACGCCACUGGAUGCACGCCAGAACACCGAAGAACAACAUGAGUUUGAACCAAGAUGCUUAAGUGUUAAAAACUGCAGUCCCUUGAGUGUCCACUUGACCUUGAAAAAGUGACCUUUUCAGAGGAUCUUACUUUUCAACCUUCCAAAACUCCAUUUACAUGUUAACGACGGCCCAAACAAAACUGUAGUUCAGCAUCUUUUAUUGAAUACCUCUCCUUUAGACAGCCUCUAGAAUGGCCAAAAGGUGGUUUUAGAUGGUAACCACCAUCAUCGUACUUGGCCGAUUAACCAACAGGUGAUGUAACCGAGACUAAGUCCAUGAUUUAUGCAGUUUUAGUUUCUGGACUCAAUACAGCUCAAUUCAACAGGUACUAUAAACUCUGAGAUAUGUGCUCAAUAUCAACAAAACAUGAUCCAAGAUCCUAACAUAGUUUGCCGUAUGUGGAAACCUCAGAGAGUAUAUCCUGCAUAGAAACAGGAUGAACAUGACUUUUAAAAGGAGCAGAAAUACAUCAAAAGUCAGAUUAUUGAGAGCUGGCGGCUUUUACAACAUCUUGGUAAAGAUGGAAAAAUCCUGUUCGGUCAUCUGUCUCCAUCUUUGGUUCGUCUCACAACAUUUAUAAUUCAGUUUGAGCAAGAUCAUUAAAACUUCCCUUCACAGGCAUUGGCUUUUAAAGACAACUGACAUCCAAAAGGACAUCAUUUGUUAUUUGGAAAAGUGGUCUAAGUGCUCAAACAUUGAUUGGAUAUCUCGCGAUCCAACAUAAGUUGAUAAAAGCUCAAACUGAAUCACUUCCCAAACCUGUUUGAGGAAAUUGAGGGUUCUGUUAGUGUUUCUUCAUUUUGAGUAAGAGAUAAAAUGAGAGGAGGAAAAAAAAAAACAGUUUGAAUUCAUUUUAUGUAAUAGUUUUUGAAAAUGGAGACAAUUUCCUCGUCAAAUUGUGCUUUUAAACUCAAUGUGCUCAUGGAAGAAAAUGGUGGCACUGCUUUUCUUUGUAGGGGAGCACACGUGUAAACAUCUUUCAUGUCUUCAGAUUGCCAUGACAACUUGUUUGGCCCUGCACUUUUCAGACAUCCCAUGAUGCCAACCAACAAUACUUCUUUUUUCGGCCCCAGCGUGAAAGCAACAUUAAACUGCUGUCCAUUCAGACGUCCUCGUCGACUCUUGGAUGUGGUGAUAUUUUGGCGGUGCCUCCUGUCUGAAAAAUAAAAUAACACUCUCCGAGGACCUUAAGAAGUUCUGUCCCUGUCCCUGUUGGUCCAAGAAUCUCUCCAGCCACUGAUCGAACUGCAAUCUCCCUGUUCAAACACAGCUGCAUCAAUGGGCUUUUAUCAGACCGCGGUCCCCCCCCCCUCUGGAUACAGAGAAUGCACAGCUGCUGCUCUGUUGCCCAGAAACUGAAUGUCAUUUCAGGAAUACCCCCCAUUCCACAAACAGGAUAGUGUUACAGGAAGGCCUGCAAACAUCCCCAGCCUCCAAACUCGAUUUUCCCCCGUUUCAGGCAGAGCGCCACUCCCGUGCAUCCAUUUUCUGAGGCCCAUCUCUCUAAUAAGAGUUCAGAUGUCGCGGAAAUUGUGAAGAUUGGAUAAAAAGAAGCGCAUAAUUGGACCUCUCCUUAAGGAGGACCAUGCAGUUAUUGAGUUUUUGGUAUCAUUUUCCCAUCAGUCAGGACCCUAAACCACUGUCCAAUCAAUGCAUACUGAGUUAUGAGCUUUGUAAUUUCAAAAUCACAUUAUCAGAUGCUGCUCAUUUAGUUUAAGGGUAGUACCAAGAAUCCCCCAAACAGCCGUUUUAGUCAAAAGCACUUCAAAAAUGAAUUAGUCAAGUUCUUUUGCUCUUUUUAUAUUCCUUUUAGACCCUCAGUUUGGGAAGGAAAUUUCUCAAGGGUAAGGCUGUUAUGAGAAAUUUUUACUGUUUUUGAAAUCUUAAGAAUCAUCAAUCAGCAAUUUAUGCACGGUUUUACGAGAGGAAAGCAUAAAAGUCUUGCUAUGGGAAAAGGACCUGGGAAAAAUCAGAAUUCAGUUCUGUCGCUUUACAGGACUUUUUAGGGUUUUCUUUAGCACUUAAUCUCAUCUCUUUAAGACCCCAUGCCUCUAAGUAGUCUCUUUGUACAAUUCAUCCUUGUUUUGCACGGAGUAAAAUCAGACUACAGGAUGGUAAAGAUUAAAUACAAAAGGUGUAACCAAAGGGGGAUUCAAAAAUCUGAUUUUCUCGUCCACUGCAGUGCUAAGUGACUGCCACUCAGAGUCCUUUCUCCAAAUGGUUGCAAAUUUGAAAAAUAAAUGCAGAAGGGUUGCUAGGGCUCUCCCUUAUUAACCUGACAGAUAUUUUAUAUUCUGUACAGUUUGCAGCCUCUCUGCAAGAGGGAGCUGGUAUUUAAGGCUCUCCAGAGGCACUAAAGCCAUCGGGCUAGUCAGAAGAGCUAUAUCCGUGAAUGAACUAAUUAAGCUCCUCAAUGUCCUCAGCAAAAUGGUGUCCUGAGAUUGUUCUCUGCAAUAGCAGUAAUGAGAAAGAGAGAGUCAGGAGGGGGGAAAACAUGAGAGGAAAAGCAGGGAGAGGCGGAGGUGGAGCCUAUAGAUCUCAUCCUCAAAUCCCAGAUCUGCUUGGAAACAGUGCGAUGGCAGAUUUCAGGCUCUCUCUGUUCCUGUCCGGAGCGAGAGGACCUGUUACAUUUCUGAAUGCAAAGUCUGUAUUUUCUCAUCUUUGUUUCCUAGCUUUGGUCGCGGCAAGGCUCAUUAAAGUCCAUAAACAAUGCGAGAUGUGCUCUCUAAUGAGCAAACGCUUCUGUAAAAAGGCCUCUGUCCUUGGGAAGCUGGCCAUGUCAGCUGAAGCUGUAUCCAAACCCAGUCUCAUGCAUCUCGGGGCUAACAACCGGGCCAUUCUCACCAGGCUCAUUUGUGCUCUCCAUCCUUAUCCUCAUUGUUCCCUCAUUUUCUGUACUCUACUUCCCAGGGAAACUGACGUUUGCUUUACUUCCUGACAGGAAGCAUCGAGUCUUUCGAGUGAUAUUUCCCUCUGUGAGAAUGUACAGAGUGCUGGAUGCAGAUUUGAGACAUCCUCCUCAGCUCUGCUUUGCUCCUUUAGGGGGUUGCAUCCGAGGGAAAAGGAGUCUACAAAGUCCCGGGAGGUUUCUGUGGCAAAGGGUGGCGAACUAAGUGAUGUGCUUGGCUGGCUGCGGAGCGCAGUGGAGCUGAAUGAAACAGCACGGUUGAAAACAACAGUGGGCUUUCUCUGUCUGCGGAGCCACAACAGAGUAUGCUUUCUUUGAGAUAGAGGGAAAAAUUUCAGAGGAAGGAACGCUGGAAAAAUGGAGCAUGAUGUGGCAUUUUGAGUUGCUCUUUCCAGCUGACGGGGGUCAGGCACUGAUAAGUGAUCUACCUAUGGCUCACUAGUCACAGUGAUUCUGAAUAAUGAUAUCAGCAACUGUGAGAUAAAUCAUCAUUAUUCCACAGGCACAAAAUAAUGAUGUGAUGGUCCUCAAACAAAAGAGUGACCAGAUUAGCCCUGCAUGCAAUACUGGUCUCUGAUUCAAAGAGGGGAAAAGAUACUUCAAACAGGCGCGAAUGAAAAGAAAGAAAUGAAAAAGCUGGAGACGCAGACAGGAAGCUGGAAGUCCAGCAAGGAGCCCCUGGAGGCUACAAUGUUCAUUAGACCCAUAUCAUGAUGGUAUCAUAAAGUAUCUCAGAGCACUGCUAUUAUGGCUGCGGUCAAAGUAAUCUUGAGGGUGCCGCUGGAGGAUAGGCUGUCGGAUAAUUAAUGUCCAAACUGCGCUGUUUCUACGACUCGUGGAAUUCACUGGCAAUCUUUCUGCUUCAGACUUCUAAAGACGAAGCUCAGCGUGGUCAUGACCUCCUUAAGAUGCACUCUUAGGAUUUCGGACUCUUUCAUGCCAAGUUGGAGCUUUUAACUCGCUCUGCGCAAAAAAAGACAAGUCUUUCACCGAUAACUGGUAAAUCGGUUGUUAAUUCACGUCACUAAUGGCGAGGAGAAAUCCCCACCCUGCCCUUCGAAACAGACUGAAGAAGACAGUUUUAUGACACCGGCUCUUUGUAUAACCGGGGUCAUAACUCAGCACAUGCGUGUUAUUGCAUUGCUUUACAAAAACAGCCAAUGUUGAUGGAUGUCUUCUAAUUUCGCCGAGCUACAUGUUCACCAAAGUCAUUAGAGCUCCAGCAUGGCAACAUCUGCUCACAUCCACUUUGUAUUAGCCUGAUAGAAACGGCACAGAGGCGAGCAAAAGCUAUCCGAAUGUGUUAUUAGUACAACAUUAAGGAUGUGCCUCUUGAUAGCCAUACUCCAAUUACCUCUCACUAUGGAGCCAUUCUAAGUGGUGGACCUCGCAGGAUAUUCUUCUUCUGCUGCUUUGCUGUUUAUUCUUCCUUCGGGGACAUUGGUAAAUUAUACAUUAGGACACGCUUGAAUAUUUUACAGAUUUAAUGAGAAUUUGAUGAAAGAAUGAGGAUGAAAAUGGUCCAGAAAAGAGUCGUAAGAGUGUGUGUUUGUGGUUUCAAACGGCAUCCGUCUCCUUUAAGAGUUUAAACAUUAAGUCUGAUGUGCGACGCUGAUGCAGUGAUCUGUGCCACACUGUAAUUGAAAACAACACUGGGAACGGUCAACUUAGCAGGACUUAAUAUCAAGUUUAAUAGUGACUGUUAAGUAGGAAUGAGCACAUUUAGUCCUCAUCUCCAUCCCACAACAUCACCCUCGCUAAACACCAUCCUCAUUGCUCGUUGGCUCAACUAAUUAAUAUUUAGUGAUUGUGGGCCUGAAAUUGCACUCAUGAGUCGCAGCCACCUCACAGUGACUGGAGCUGUAUUCAAAGAUGUAAAGACACAUAGCAUCUCACAGCAAAGCGCAGUCUUUCAUGAAGAAAGUAAAACCAGCGUAUAACCAUCUAGCCAGCCAAUGUGUAGCUCGCACAGGCAUGUGGAUAUUAACCUGUAAGAAGGGUCUGAGGCUAGUGGUGCUAGCUCUGCUAAUGUUAGCCACAUUAUGCGAAGUUAAUAGCCAACGGUUUAUUUCCAGACUCUGCUAUCCUGUAGGCCAUUUUGAAUAUAUUGUGCGUGAUUUAUUUGCCUGGUUCACCGGGUGUCUAGGAAAAUAAAAAGUGUGCUACUUUGGCUCUGCUGCUGGUGUCCUUCCCUACAAGUCGGUUUUCUAAUGCCCCUUCAAAAAACUCUAUUUGGUAACUGUGCUGUAUGUGUAAUCGCUGAAUCUGAAAAUAAUAAUAUACAACAUUUUAACUUUGUAAAUGCAUUUGCUAAAAUUUACUUUUUAAUAUUCCAAACUCUAACAUAUUACUGACAUAUCAAAUAUUUUUGUUGUUAGGCCCAAAUAUCAGUGAUUGCUCUCAUAAUCUACCAAUCAUCAUUAUUGGUAUCAGCACUCAAAGGCCAAUAUCGGUCAAAACUUAACUUUAUACACUGGCACUGACUGAACCUCAUCCUCGAUUUGCAGAACUAUCCAAUAAGAGGUUGGACGUCUGUUAAGUAUUUCCUCUUCAUGUUUCAUUUCUUGCACUUCCUGUUUUAUUCUGUGAUCACUCGCC